rnacentral:rRNA from 1 species
CUGGCGGUGUGCCUAAUACAUGCAAGUCGAACGAGACCUUCGGGUUUAGUGGCGGACGGGUGAGUAACACGUUGGUACCUGCCCUCAAGUGGGGAAUAACUGCCCGAAAGGGUGGCUAAUACCGCAUGUGAUCGCAAGAUCAAAGUCGCAAGACGCUUGAGGAGGGGCCUGCGUCCCAUUAGCUAGUUGGUAGGGUAAUGGCCUACCAAGGCGACGAUGGGUAGCUGGAUCGAGAGGUUGACCAGCCACACUGGGACUGAGAUACGGCCCAGACUCCUACGGGAGGCAGCAGUAAGGAAUCUUCCACAAUGGACGAAAGUCUGAUGGAGCAACACCGCGUGCAGGAUGACGGCCUUCGGGUUGUAAACUGCUUUUAUAUGGGAAGAUUAUGACGGUACCAUAUGAAUAAGCACCGGCUAACUACGUG